rnacentral:rRNA from 1 species
AACGCGAAGAACCUUACCUACUUUUGACAUCCUGGGAAGUUUGCCGAGAGGUAGAUGUGCCGCAAGGAGCCCAGAGACAGGUGCUGCAUGGCUGUCGUCAGCUCGUGUCGUGAGAUGUUGGGUUAAGUCCCGUAACGAGCGCAACCCUUGUUCUUAGUUACUAGCGGGUUAGGCCGAGGACUCUAAGAAGACUGCCGGUGAUAAACCGGAGGAAGGUGAGGACGACGUCAAGUCAUCAUGGCCCUUACGAGUAGGGCUACACACGUGCUACAAUGGGCGGUACAAACGGAGGCGAAGCCGAGAGGUGGAGCGAAUCCGAGAAAGCCGCUCGUAGUCCGGAUUGAAGUCUGGAACUCGACUUCAUGAAGUUGGAAUCGCUAGUAAUCGUGAAUCAGAACGUCACGGUGAAUACGUUCCCGGGCCUUGUACACACCGCGCAUA